AUACGGAGGGUGCAAGCGUUAUCCGGAUUUAUUGGGUUUAAAGGGUCCGUAGGCGGGCCGAUAAGUCAGUGGUGAAAUCUCGCAGCUUAACUGUGAAACUGCCAUUGAUACUGUUGGUCUUGAGUAAAUUUGAAGUGGCUGGAAUAAGUAGUGUAGCGGUGAAAUGCAUAGAUAUUACUUAGAACACCAAUUGCGAAGGCAGGUCACUAAGAUUUAACUGACGCUGAUGGACGAAAGCGUGGGUAGCGAACAGGAUUAGAUACCCUGGUAGUCCACGCCGUAAACGAUGCUAACUCGUUUUUGGGCACUUGUGCUCAGAGACCAAGCGAAAGUGAUAAGUUAGCCACCUGGGGAGUACGAUCGCAAGAUUGAA
rnacentral:rRNA from 1 species